GGGCCUGCUCGGUGAUUUAUAUUUAACAGCUGCGGUAUUAUAACUGUACUAAGGUAGCAUAAUAAUUUGCCUUAUAAAUUGAGGCUAGAAUGAAUGGUUUGACGAAAAUUAUACUGUCUCUAUUUUAUUCAUUAAAAGUUAAUUUUUAUAGUGAGAAAGCUUGGAUGAUUUAAAGGGACGAAAAGACCCUAUUGAGCUUUAUAUUAUAUUUUAAAUAUAAUUUGUUUUGUAUUUAUUUAAAUAUAAUUUUGGUUGGGGUGAUCAAGGAAUAAAGUAUAUUUGUAUUAACUUCCUUAGAUAUUAUAUAUAAAUAAAUUAAUAAACCAAAUUUAUUGCUUAAAAAAUAAGUUACCAUAGGGAUAACAGCGUAAUUUUUUUUGAAAGUUCAUAUUG
rnacentral:rRNA from 1 species